AGCGAACGCUGGCGGCAGGCUUAACACAUGCAAGUCGAACGGGCAUCUUCGGAUGUCAGUGGCAGACGGGUGAGUAACACGUGGGAACGUACCCUUCGGUUCGGAAUAACUCAGGGAAACUUGAGCUAAUACCGGAUACGCCCUUUUGGGGAAAGGUUUACUGCCGAAGGAUCGGCCCGCGUCUGAUUAGCUUGUUGGUGGGGUAACGGCCUACCAAGGCGACGAUCAGUAGCUGGUCUGAGAGAAUGAUCAGCCACACUGGGAGUGAGACACGGCCCAGACUCCUACGGGAAGCAGCAGUGGGGAAUAUUGGACAAUGGGCGCAAGGCUGAUCCAGCCAUGCCGGGUGAGUGAUGAAGGCCUUAGGGUUGUAAAGCUCUUUUGUCCGGGACGAUAAUGACGGUACCGGAAGAAUAAGCCCCGGCUAACUUCGUG
rnacentral:rRNA from 1 species